ACAUGCCUAUAACACAUCGUUAAUGCAUUGGAUCCCAUUAGAACUUUGCAGUUAAGCACGCUCAUGCUAGAGUAGUACUAGGAUGGGUGACCACCUGGGAGUCCUAAUGUUUUACAUGCC
rnacentral:rRNA from 1 species